rnacentral:lncRNA from 1 species
AUGGGGCGGGGCGGCCCGCGCUCCCAGGCCCCGCCCACCGCGCGGCCCCGCCCCAGAGGGUGCCAGUUUCCCACGCCCCGCCUGUUCCCCGCGCGCCUCAGGCCCUCUGGGUCUCCGGCUCGGCCAGCCCAGGUCCUGACACCGUGGCCCGGGCCGCUGGCAAGCCGGUCUGUCAGAGGCGCCCGGGAGGAAACGGGUCCCGCACCCCACCACUGGCCAUCAGACCCCGCGGCGACCCACAGUCCCGCGAGGGCCCCGGGGCCCCUCCGUCCGUCCCCGUUCCCUCGCACCUCACCGCGGGCUCUAAAGUACCCAGUCCCGGAGCAAGUCGGCUCCGGAUCCUGGCGUCCCGGGCGGGCCACGUGCGCCCGGCUGUCGCGCGCCCCGCCCCCGGGGAGGAGCCCGCCGGCUCCCGGCCACUCGGCCCGAGGCGCGGCGCCCGCAGCCUUCCCGGCGCCUCCCCGGCCGGCGCCCGCCCUCUGCUUCGCAGGCCCUUCCCGCCGCCCUCACCCGGCCCGCCCGUCUGUCUUUCCUGUCCGGCCGGCGGGGGCCGUGGGACCGUGUCACGCCCUUUUCAGAAAUUCUCGGCUGGUAAUCGCGAAGCCGACGCGGAACAAGAGCUCGGGGAACCUGGAGAAAACCGCUUCCAUCUGACUUGAUUCUGGCAGGAAGUGGGCUCCGUAUCGUAAUAACCAACAUUUGCCAAGCGCUCGUUGAUCCUUAACUCGGCCUUGUGAGGUCUGGAUAUUAGUAGUCCUUUUUGCAAAGGAAAACACGGAAUAAGGCUUAGAGAGGUCCUGUGAACUGCAUUUUUGAGGGGUUGUGGGCUCUGGAUUCUAACUACACAAUCUGCUGUAUUCCCCUCUGAUCCCUUCUCUUAAGACGAACUUUCCAUUGAGGGAACUUCGUUGGCCUUGAGUCUCCAGAGCCCUCUGCACAGCUGUCGCCUGGAUGGGGUACAGUCAGUGUCCAGAGUGAAUGUGUCCACCACAGUCUUGAUGCCCUCCUCUGCCUACAUUGUCCUUUUUCCUGUUUUCUUGGAGGUCCCCCAUUCCUGAGUUCUUUGAAAGGCUCAAUGUAUUCAGAGUCUCAAGAAACUUUCCUCCAAGGUCAGUCCAUUACCAGCACCCUCAUCCUCAUCCCUCCUUGCUGGGGAUGUGU